rnacentral:rRNA from 1 species
GAAACGAAGUAGUGAUGCAGAGUAAAACUCAAAAAACGGUACUCAGUUCGGAUUGAAGGCUGAAAUUCGCCUUCAUGAAGUCGGAAUUGCUAGUAAUGGCAGGUCAGCAUACUGCCGUGAAUACGUUCCCGGGCCUUGUACACACCGCCCGUCACACCAUGAGAGUUGGGAAUACCCGAAGCCUGUGAGCCAACAAACGAGGCAGCAGUCGAAGGUAGAAUCAAUGAUUGGGGUGAAGUCGUAACAAGGUAAC